rnacentral:rRNA from 1 species
GAUGAACGCUGACAGAAUGCUUAACACAUGCAAGUCUACUUGAACUUCGGUUUGGGUGGCGGACGGGUGAGUAACGCGUAAAGAACUUGCCUCACAGUUAGGGACAACAUUUGGAAACGAAUGCUAAUACCUGAUAUUAUGAUUUUAGGGCAUCCUAAGAUUAUGAAAGCUAUAUGCGCUGUGAGAGAGCUUUGCGUCCCAUUAGCUAGUUGGAGAGGUAACGGCUCACCAAGGCGAUGAUGGGUAGCCGGCCUGAGAGGGUGAACGGCCACAAGGGGACUGAGACACGGCCCUUACUCCUACGGGAGGCAGCAGUGGGGAAUAUUGGACAAUGGACCAAAAGUCUGAUCCAGCAAUUCUGUGUGCACGAUGACGUUUUUCGGAAUGUAAAGUGCUUUCAGUUGGGAAGAAAAAAAUGACGGUACCAACAGAGGAAGUG